rfam:Caenorhabditis brenneri strain PB2801 C_brenneri-6.0.1_Cont391.1, whole genome shotgun sequence.
CUUGCACGACUGCAACCUGCUUUCGGAGCUUUUCCGUCUGCGGUACUUGUAGUGCUAAAUGAGCGUGGGCCCUCCGUGUGCGUGUAACUUCAUUGAACUAGCACUCCGUUGGUCACCGGACAAUU